UGUGAGAGAGAGAGAGAGAGAGAGAGAGAGAGAGAGAGAGAGAUCGCCAGCCGUGCACCUCAUUAUCUUUUCUUUGAAAAGUGUCAACCUAGACUUUCUUUUCUCAAGAACCUAAGCCACACAUCAGUGGCUAAUUGCUAAUAAAAUAUGUGUUAGAGUGGGCACAAAAGGUUACUCCAGCAAUUUAUCAAAAGAAGCUUUUAAAUACAAAAGACUUAAAGCCAGGUAAACACCCUGUUUAAUUUCUUUUCCUGUCUAUGGAUGCCUUGGAAUUUUAGCUUUCCUAGUUGAUCUAAACUCCAAAAAAGUAUGAAGUCUCUUUGCUAAUGUUUACUUAAUGCUAAACUCAAUACAGGAAGUCAAAUACUAAAGAGUAGUUACAUUAGGCACAGAUAUUUAUAAACCAUCUGCUGCAAGUGACCUAGGAUUCAAUUACAACAUCAACCCUCACAUUUCAUCGAACAGUCAAGUUACCAGUCUAGUCAAGAAUAAGUUCAUUCUACCCCAUUGGCGAAUUAGAUCGGCUUGCACAAUCCUUAGAGGGUUGAACUGUCUUAGCCUAGCCCUAGAGCAUCAGGUCCUAAGUGGAGUACAAAGUUAGCAUCAGAACAUUUUAAAUAGGAGGCAAACUCCAGCGUCGUCUGUACAAUUGCAACCAGCCCACGCUCCAGAAUUUAUGAGUUUAUCACAUCACUUGAGAUGAGAGUGAAAUUAAGUUUCAGUCCCUUUGAGAUCUCUGAGCGCGCAAAGUCUGACUACUAUAGUUUCAAGGAGCUGAAGAGUGCGAACAUAGCUGGAGAAAAACUAUUUGGUGCAGAAAUUCGUGUCUUUUCCGAGCACCAUUGAGGGCCGCACCGGUCGGGUCCCGCGCGAUGCCCUGGCCUGAGUUUGGGGGCGCAGCGGGGCCCGGCGGGGGCGGCGAGCGCGCGUUCCCCCGCCCGCUCGGGCGGCGUCGAGGCGCGAGCAGCUCAGCCAGCCUUGCAGAGGGAGCUCUCGGCAGCUCAGGGGUCCCUCUGCUCGCAGCCACAGCAGCGCCGCCUGCGACACUCGGCGGCGACGGAGACCGGCAGCGGCGAUGAUCGGACUAGGAGAAACUAGAGAGCACCCCAGCUGCUGGAGAAGCACGCAGGGCGACCGGCUUUGAAUUCAUGAGAAAGAAGAGUGUGAAACAAGAAGAAAAGAUAAGGUUGGAAGAGGGCAAGAUGAAAGGAGGGGAGUGGAAGGAAACCCCUGCAGCCACCAACACAAUAAACUGUGUCCCAAACAGC